rnacentral:rRNA from 1 species
AUGUGGGAGCGGAUCCCGGUUGGACGACCCGAUUUCAAGAACCCCGAACACCCAAACCCACUUGGUAAUCAUGAUGGGGCGCAUGAUGAUGAUCCAUAUCGGCUCCCUACGGUUUCGUACUAUUGGGAAUGGGUGACGGUGUACACAGGAAGCUUGCAUGUGCGAUACAAGUGCUAUAUGAACGAGCUAGACACCUUGACUGCUGAGCAGGUCCAUUGGAUGCCUUAUGUGGAUGAUCGUGGCUUCUCUCUUAACGAGAUGUGCAUGCGUGAUAGCCAUCUUUGGCGGGCGAGGUGCCCAAUGAUAUGCCUCUUUGCGGUCGAGUGGCACUUCGUAGACCGUGUGGAAAGACAAUUUGGAAGAAGACAAGUUAUUCCAAUUGAUGAGAGCAAGGAGGAAAUGCUAUCUCUGCAUCGAUGA